GAAAUGCGAUAAGUAGUGUGAAUUGCAGAAUUCAGUGAAUCAUCGAAUCUUUGAACGCACAUUGCGCCCUUUGGUAUUCCUUAGGGCAUGCCUGUUCGAGCGUCAUUUAAACCUUCAAGCUCAGCUUGGUGAUGGGUGUCUGUCCCGCCUCCGCGCGUGGACUCGCCUCGAAGACAUUGGCAGCCGUACGUUGGCCCCGAGCGCAGCAGAAACGCGUCUCGUGCCCGCCGGAUCGGUUCUCCAGCAAGCCUCUUUAACUCUUGACCUCGGAUCAGGUAGGGAUACCCGCUGAACUUAA
rnacentral:misc_RNA from 1 species